rnacentral:lncRNA from 1 species
AGCAGUGUCAGCGGCAUCCCUGUUCUGGAAGGUCUCAGAGGAGUACCCAGGACUGGGGAGUCCAAUGCCUGCCGCCUUUUCUGGAGCACUUUAUUGACCUUUGGCUGUGUGCCACGCUCUGUGGUAGGUGCUGCAGGGACCAAGCAUAGCUCCAUACUGUGGGUAACAGCUUCAGCAAAGAAUUUGACCUCAAGCAAGAUGAACUCCAAAUAACGCAUAAAGUAACAUCAACAUGAUGCAGUGUGUGUGAAACAGAUCUCGGUCCCGUAAGAGCAAAAGAGAAGGACAAAUCAGAUCAUCACA